AUCACAUGCAAACCAAACUCCCCCGUGUAACUUGCCCGUUCCCUAUCUAAAGGAACAUGGUUUAUUCUUCAUUUAGUGUCAAUCCCAGAAUAACAGUGUUGCUAUUCCAUGUUUUCUUGAAUUCUUAACAUGCAAUGCCUAUGCCAUCUCUGCAGAAGACCAUUCCAUGCAUCUACAACUCCAUUAGCGUUCUAUUUGUAAAUUUUUCUCAGUAUUGAAGAUGAGGUCUGUAACGGCCACCCCGCUAGUGGAGGGGUUUCCGCCACCAGAGAUGUCCUUUCCCCCCAUAGUGAAGAGCACUGAAGUAACCCCAAGCAUCAGUCCAAGCGGUGAGGAAG